rnacentral:sRNA from 1 species
AAUAAAAAAUUAAUUUCACCGAACAUGAUUAGAUAGUAGGACUAGAUGGUAGGACGUGUUUAUAAUAUUAUAAUAUAUAAACUUUACAACAAUUAAAUAACCAUUUGAAAGAAAACUUUUAAAUUGAUUUGAAUUAAAUAUUUUUUAAAUUAAAGUAUUAUUAAAACAAAAAUAACAAAAUAAUAUCUAAUUCUACUGAACGGAGUUAGUGGUAUGACGGGUUUGGUCGAUAGUAUUACGAGACGGUAUACCACAAGUGAAAUCCAUUAGAUAUGUUUAAUUUCACUGUGCAGGAUUAGAUAGUAUGAUGGGUUUGGAUCGAUAGUAAUACGAAACGAUAUACUACGGGUGAAAUCCUACAUAUAACAAUUAAAAUCUAAAUAUACAUUAUCUUAAACACUAAACAAAACAAACAAUAUUAAUAAAAUAAAUAUCUACAUAUAUAUUUUAUAUAACUAAUUUUAUCAAAAACCUAACCCCGCGGUAUACCGCGGGUCAAAAUCUAGUAACUUACAUAUAUCUUAACCUUUUAGCAAA